UGUUCGGUGUUUGUGAUUGCUCC
rnacentral:siRNA from 1 species